rnacentral:lncRNA from 1 species
UUGUGCUGUCCUUUCUUGGAGGCAAAUGUCCUUUUUUUUCUAAAGCAGGUCUGUCCUUUUUUCAUGUGUAGUGUCUGGCAACUCUGCCGUAGUCAGCCCGGCGGCCGGCCAGUUGACCGUGAGCCGUGCUUCUCUUGGCAGGACAAGGCGCUGGUCGUGAGGGACAGUGAGUGGUGGAGAUCAAGAUACCGAUAAUAGUGUUAUCUAUAGUAGCGAAGAGAAUAUUUUGUGUGUAGCCUCUCAGUAAUCAGAGGUUAACUAUUUAAACAUGGUUGAAGACACAAAGUGGACAGUGGAGUGUGGGUGCUUGCUAGUGACACGGACAGCCGCCGCGGAGCAAUCUUUGCCUAACGUACCACCGUCAUUGCCUGCUGUCGGAACCCAGGCGGUGCAGAGGAGCUUAAAAGUGUUCAGGUAAUGUGGUCUUUUGUGUCAUAAUAUUUUGAUACCUCUAGUCGUCUUGAAAUUUUACUAUCUGUACAUAAAACAUUACUUUCUUUAGAUUUUAUCUAAUCAUUUAUCAUUCCUCUUAAUGCCUGUAGUUGUCUUCAAAUCUUAGUAUCUGUACAUAAAACAUUACUUCUGUGGGUAUGUAAUGUAAUAUAUUAUAUCAUAUGUAUUCCCUGUACCUCUGAUUAUCAUACGCCUGGCAACCCUACGUAAGCCUCAGUCUUGCUGGCGUCUCCAAGGCAGGCAGGCAGGCAGGCGUAUGGGGGUCCUUCCAAGGCUUUCUCUGUGUUCCUCUGCUUGAAUACACAUACUCCAGUUAGUACGUGUUUCUAUGAAGAACCUUCACCUUCGUGGCUGUACUGACUGUCCCGACAGCUACCCAACACCACAUGGCGCAGUGAGUAGUAGGAUCACGGGUCUUCCCGACGCCAUCGCCGCCACGCCAGCAGGGACUCCACUGCCUCUUCACGCCCUUCCCUGGGUUUUACGGAGCUUCAGUGACUCUUGUGUGUGACAGUGUGUGCGGUGUCGUGCUUUUGCGUGCAGUGUUUUGCGUUGUAGUCUUCCCUCGCCGUUGACAAGGGACGCUACACCCUUGGCGGAGACAGACCUCGCAGCCUCACAUCCCCCUCGUCCAGCGCGCAGCGAGUAACUGCCUUCCUUGGGGGGGAGGCUGGACUCUGGAGCGAGUUAGGGAGUCACUUGGAAGCUUUGCGCACUAGAUCAAGCUGACCUAAGCUGUGUGGAUGUGAGGUCCAAGAUAACAGAGUAGUGUUUGGUUCAGCUGAAUGUUGCUUUGUGUUCUUAAUGUUAAUGUCACCACGAUUACUUCCAAUAAUCUACAGUUGCUUUCUCUAAUCUUUUACUUCCAGACUUCAUUGGCAUUAAAAAGAAAAAAAAGGCAACACAGUAAACAGGCAAAACUAAUUGUCGAGGUUUACAGACUCACGUAUCCUUCCAACAAACCAUGUAUCGCACGUAUCGUUUCAAUAUUGUGACCAUAGAAACAUCAAUCCCUCUAUCUCUGAGUAGCAGCAGCAACAGCAUUGGGCUCACCUGAGUGCCGGCAUCUUGGCGAUCAGGAAGGCGUACACAGUCACGUCCCCCCUUGACUGGAUACCUGUGGGUCUUGUCCAGCUCCAUAAGGAGUGAUCGGCCGACGGCUUCAUUGAGUUUGGCGAUCUCGUCCGUCCCGCGCAAGCCCGGCCGAUCUAAGGGGUGAGAGAAAGGAAAUACUCGCUAUUAGACACCAAGUAAUGCCACUAAAGCUACGAAGGAGCAAGUCUGGCUGGUAACUGGCUUGUCCACCCACCCACCCCUCACCGAGACAGGACACACCAAGGGGCGUGAGACUGGACGAUGCGGACCAGCUCGUGCUGCCCACCCUUCCCCCAUGGAAACUUCCCACCACCACC